CAGUUGUGUGGGUGUGUGCCUGGAGAAAGGCCCCAGUCGUUGGCAAAGCUUUGUUUUUAGCAACAGCGUGAAAGUUACUUGUCCUAUUGGAGAAUGAUGAAGAAGAAGAAGAAGAACUUGUCCUAUGAUUAUGAUGUUCCCGACACUGGUCCACGCACCCUUCACCUGUCUGCCCAGUCGCUGAUACAGCUGGCGCCUCGCUGUCAGAAAAUGGGGGACCAGAGACAGUUUCCAACAGUUCGCAACAAGAACUGGGGAUUUUUUUUCCCAUGCUGUUUUUCACUAUGACUUCGUUCAGUACUUUUGUACCAUAGCUUUAUGAGCAUUGAUGCUGUGUUACUGUUACUUGGACCUCAUUGAUGGGGAGAAUAUAUAUCUGCUACAUCUAUAGAUACUAUCUAUAGAUGUAGGCUGGUCGGAGGAAACCGUGAACAUUUCACUGAACCUCGAACCGAGACAUUAGCAAAAAUAGUCGGUGAGAUCAAUUCUUGUUGAUUUUGAGUUAUAAUGCAUACCAGGGAAUUCACCAACCAUUUUAGAAAAUAAUUCUUGAACUGUUUCUUGUAGAACACACUGUAAAUUUAUUUCCAAUUUGCUUUCACAUAUUCGGCUAGGGCCCAUGGUCCUUUUUAAAAAUCAAAUAUCUAUCUCUCCUUCUUUUUUGUGUUUGUUACUCUCUUGCAACACCUCUGAACUUCAGCAUUUAUUGCGUUGCAAGUGCCGUAAUAUGUUUACCAUAACAACAAAUUUUAUUAUUUUCAUUAUAAAAACAUUUGUUGCCAAAUGAUGCCUAGUAAUUAACUGUAAUGCUUAUUUUGGUGAAAUAUUGUGUGACUUUUUAAUAAACUUCAAGACAAAGGUGAACAAA